GCCUGACGCAGCGACGCCGCGUGGGGGAUGAAGGUCUUCGGAUUGUAAACCCCUUUCGGGAGGGAAGAUGGGAUGGGGUAACCCAUUCGGACGGUACCUCCAGAAGCAGCCACGGCUAACUCGUGCCAGCAGCCGCGGUAAUACGAAGGUGGCAAGCGUUGUUCGGAUUUACUGGGCGUACAGGGAGCGUAGGCGGUUGGAUAAGCCCUCCGUGAAAUCUCCAGGCUUAACCUGGAAAGUGCAGAGGGGACUGUUCAGCUAGAGGAUGGGAGAGGAGCGCGGAAUUCCCGGUGUAGCGGUGAAAUGCGUAGAGAUCGGGAGGAAGGCCGGUGGCGAAGGCGGCGCUCUGGAACAUUUCUGACGCUGAGGCUCGAAAGCGUGGGGAGCAAACAGGAUUAGAUACCCUGGUAGUCCACGCCUUAAACGAUGGAUACUAAGUGUCGGCGGGUUACCGCCGGUGCCGCAGCUAACGCAGUAAGUAUCCCGCCUGGGAAGUACGGCCGCAAGGUUG
rnacentral:rRNA from 1 species